rnacentral:lncRNA from 1 species
ACACUCCUGAGCCAGAGGAAAAGGGAGAUAAGAUAACCUAGCUGGUAUCACACAUAACCUGGAAUAUCCACAUCCACUUUCUGGUGUCAGCAGACAUUUAUAGCUGAGUCUUCUAAAUGCUGAGCGUGUGCUGUUCUACAGAAAAUAGAAAGAGAAAAUCAGCCUAGUGGGGUGAUCUGUCAGUUCCCAAAAUAACUGUUCCAGGAAGGUGCAUCAUCCUACAGGACGUGGAUUUUUCUUCAUUGCAAGUGGAGGUGUUAGAUCUGAAAGGCUUCAGUCAUAGAUCAAUUGCAAACAGAGAGCACCACGUCCUAGUCAGUUCGAGUGCAGAUAAGUAAAUUAUAGCAGACAGUAACUAAUAUUUUUUUGUCUAUGUCUGGAAAUCAGUUGUUGAACAAUAAUUAUUAUGAAUAGAUUUCUGUGCCUAUUAAGGCACUAUCAAUC